CCUACGGGAGGCAGCAGUGAGGAAUAUUGGUCAAUGGGCGCGAGCCUGAACCAGCCAAGUAGCGUGAAGGAUGACGGCCCUACGGGGUGUAAACUUCUGUUAUAAAGGAAUAAAGUGAGGCACGUGGGCCUUAUUGUAUGUACCUUAUGAAUAAGGAACGGCUAACUCCGUGCCAGCAGCCGCGGUAAUACGGAGGUUCCGUGCGUUAUCCGGAUUUAUUGGGGUUAAAGGGAGCGUAGAGGGGUUGUUAAGUCAGUUGUGAAAGUUUGCGGCUCAACCGUAAAAUUGCAAUUGAUACUGGCAGCCUUGAGUACAGUUGAGGUAGGCGGAAUUCGUGGUGUAGCGG
rnacentral:rRNA from 1 species